rnacentral:piRNA from 1 species
UCCAAUGCCAGAGAAUCAACCAGAUUUAAGA